rnacentral:rRNA from 1 species
AGUGAGCGCUGGCGGUAGGCCUAACACAUGCAAGUCGAACGGCAGCACAGUAAGAGCUUGCUCUUACGGGUGGCGAGUGGCGGACGGGUGAGGAAUACAUCGGAAUCUACUUUUUCGUGGGGGAUAACGUAGGGAAACUUACGCUAAUACCGCAUACGACCUACGGGUGAAAGCAGGGGAUCUUCGGACCUUGCGCGAUUGAAUGAGCCGAUGUCGGAUUAGCUAGUUGGCGGGGUAAAGGCCCACCAAGGCGACGAUCCGUAGCUGGUCUGAGAGGAUGAUCAGCCACACUGGAACUGAGACACGGUCCAGACUUCUACGGGAGGCAGCAGUGGGGAAUAUUGGACAAUGGGCGCAAGCCUGAUCCAGCCAUACCGCGUGGGUGAAGAAGGCCUUCGGGUUGUAAAGCCCUUUUGUUGGGAAAGAAAAGCAGCAGGUUAAUACCCCGCUGUUCUGACGGUACCCAAAGAAUAAGCACCGGCUAACUUCGUG